rnacentral:piRNA from 1 species
GAACAAGUCCCAUCAUUCACGUGAAGCCUCC